rnacentral:rRNA from 1 species
UACAGAGGUCUCAAGCGUUGUUCGGAUUCAUUGGGCGUAAAGGGUGCGUAGGUGGCGCGGUAAGUCGGGUGUGAAAUCUCGGGGCUUAACUCCGAAACUGCAUUCGAUACUGCCGUGCUUGAGGACUGGAGAGGAGACUGGAAUUUACGGUGUAGCAGUGAAAUGCGUAGAUAUCGUAAGGAAGACCAGUGGCGAAGGCGGGUUGCUGGGCUGAUACUGACGCUGAGGCGCGAAAGCCAGGGGAGCGAACGGG